GCAGCUUCACUUUUCAAAAAAAAAAAAAAAAAAAAAAGACUGGGCACCAAAACUGAAGUCGCCAUCCGGCAUCUUGAUUAUCCCAAAACAGCCAUGCCGAGCUGCACGUUAAUCGCCAGUUUUGUGGUUGUGAGAAAAUAUUCCACAGGGUCGUUCGUCUGACCUUUGAUGUCAUCCGUGCUUACCCGUCCUCUGCUUGUCUGGCCGGAGUAAAACUUGUUACGGUCAACUUCAACUCGCAAAAACAAAUGACGUACUUGGCACAGUCGACGCUGUUAUGUAUCAUUUUGGAUUGGCGGUCUGCAGCAGCACCAAACAGACGACCCGCCACAUUUUCACACAAGACUGGACGUUGUUCUCGUUCUGUUUGCCCCUUUUCUGUGUGCUGCAGCCAUUGUGCAGAAGACAACAGCAUGUCCUGAAAGUCAGGCCAGCCUUCACCCUCCUCCUCAUCCCCCACUACCCCCUCAUUGUCGUUGCAGUCGGCAUGGAAGGUCUGUUUCCAUGACAACGGGAGAAUUCAGGGCGAAGGAGCGCCGUCCCAA